rnacentral:rRNA from 1 species
GAUGAACGCUAGCGGCAGGCUUAAUACAUGCAAGUCGAGGGGCAGCAUGACUGUAGCAAUACAGUUGAUGGCGACCGGCAAACGGGUGCGGAACACGUACAGAACCUUCCUUCGAGCGGGGAAUAGCCCAGAGAAAUUUGGAUUAAUACCCCAUAGUAUUACAGAGUGGCAUCACUUUGUAAUUAAAGAUUUAUCACUUGAAGAUGGCUGUGCGGCUGAUUAGGUAGUUGGCGGGGUAACGGCCCACCAAGCCUGCGAUCAGUAACUGGUGUAGAAUCACGACCAGUCACACGGGGACUGAGACACGGGCCCGACUCCUACGGGAGGCAGCAGUAAGGAAUAUUGGUCAAUGGACGAAAGUCUGAACCAGCCAUGCCGCGUGGAGGAUGAAGGUCCUCUGGAUUGUAAACUUCUUUUAUAUGGGACGAAAAAGGGUCUUUCUAGAUCAACUGACGGUACCAUAUGAAUAAGCACCGGCUAACUCCGUGCCAGCAGCCGCCGCCGUAA